ensembl:lncRNA
UAAUACUAUUUUAAAAUGGGGAAAGCUUCUACAAGCACCUUGGUCAGUUCCAGGUGUAGAAGUUACAUAGUAGAUCAGAACCACAACUUUUAACUUCAACAAGUAGUACCAAAACAAGCAUCUACAUUGUAUAAAAUAACAACACAACACUAGCAUACUUGAAAGGUGUUUAUACCACACUACUAACAAAUCACAACACAGACUUACUUGCAGCACUGAGGAAUAACUUCUUCUCAGUAAAGUCACAACUUGAAGCAGUUUUUCUUAUGAAAAACAAAACAAAACAAAAAACACAGAAGUUUUCUUCAACAAAACACCACUAGCAUUCUGUUAUCUCAAUACCAGUGAGGCACAGCAGGAGAUACUUAGGCCAUAUGUUGUACGGCUGCUCUGUGUUAUUAUCUGCCUCACCUGGUAAGGGUGAGGUAAAACUAUUUCCCUCCUUUUCCACUGUUCAAAAGAGCUUAACAAAGUCUGAGGAAAAUGCCUUGACUCUCCUUAUCCUGUAAUGGGGGAUGCACCCUGCCAUCAUGUUAUCUCACUGUGCUCUGCAGUGGAAGUUUCCAGAAAGCACUGAGCAGGGCAGGGCUGUGCUGCUAGGCCUAGGUGAAAUGGCGGCGUUUCCACAACCUGCACAGGCUGUGAGGAGCACUUCAGUCUGUGACACCACAGGAAAGCUCACUGUGAAGGAGAAUACCACCUUGCUUUGCUGCUUUGUCGCUGCUAAUGGAACACCUCAUCUAUGCUAUUAGACCCCCCAGAUGCAGUCAAGGAGUACAGAGGAAGAAAGAAUCAGGGUUUCUCAGGAAAAGUGAAAUUAUAGUUAUGCUUAAAAGCUUGCAAGAUGAAAAGCAUAUUGUAGUUUCCUUAUGAAUAGUCAACGUGGCACUUUUUUAAAAAAAAAAUAAUUCACCUGAAUUUAUGUAGAAAUAAUUUUGAAUGACCACAUGUAUAUUGUGAGAAUUUGUUUUCUUGAAUAACAAGCUUAUACUAUCACUUUUUUCAACUUUCUCCUAGAAAUGCUCAUCUACUCAAUAAUGAAAAAUGUUGUAACAUGAAUGAAGUAAAAUUUCUAUUAAAAUUAAAAUGACUAUGAAUGUAAAAUACUUUAUUCCUUUUAUUCUGAUAUUUUAUGUAUUGAACUGAAAUAUAUGUGUGCACUGGCGGUCUGAAUUGAAUUUUAUAAAUGCGUUUAUGUAAACCUGUGGAAAAAUGUGGGAAAACUUGCAGAUGACGUUCCCAAUUUCUAACUCUUCCCUGUUUAUUUCUAAUGUCCAUCAGCAUUCUUAUUUUCUCUCUUGGAAGAUAAAAUAUUUUAGAACUUGAAUAAUUAACCUUAGGGAAAAUUUUCUGAUAUUUUAGAAUACAAAAACCUCAUUAAUUAAGUAAUGUUAAAGCUGACGUUCAUUCUGAACUAAGAAUGAAAUGCAGGUGGCUAGGGAUGUAAAACUUUACUGAGCUGAGUGAAUCCAGUUUACACAGCUUGAGGAUCUGGCCUUUGAGGUGCUUGAUUAGCCAAGAAGCAGCCCCUAGUUUCUGUCAAUGACAAUUUUCAAG